rnacentral:rRNA from 1 species
CCUACGGGCGGCAGCAGUGGGGAAUAUUGGACAAUGGGGGGAACCCUGAUCCAGCCAUGCCGCGUGUGUGAAGAAGGCCCUCGGGUUGUAAAGCACUUUCAGUGAGGAAGAACGCCUGGUGGUUAAUACCCAUCAGGAAAGACAUCACUCACAGAAGAAGCACCGGCUAACUCCGUGCCAGCAGCCGCGGUAAUACGGAGGGUGCGAGCGUUAAUCGGAAUUACUGGGCGUAAAGCGCGCGUAGGUGGCUUGAUAAGCCGGUUGUGAAAGCCCCGGGCUCAACCUGGGAACGGCAUCCGGAACAGUCAAGCUAGAGUGCAGGAGAGGAAGGUAGAAUUCCCGGUGUAGCGGUGAAAUGCGUAGAGAUCGGGAGGAAUACCAGUGGCGAAGGCGGCCUUCUGGACUGACACUGACACUGAGGUGCGAAAGCGUGGGUAGCAAACAGGAUUAGAUACCCUGGUAGUC